UGGGGAAUAUUGGACAAUGGGCGAAAGCCUGAUCCAGCCAUGCCACGUGUGUGAAGAAGGUCUUCGGAUUGUAAAGCACUUUAAGUUGGGAGGAAGGGCAGUAAGCGAAUACCUUGCUGUUUUGACGUUACCGACAGAAUAAGCACCGGCUAACUCUGUGCCAGCAGCCGCGGUAAUACAGAGGGUGCAAGCGUUAAUCGGAAUUACUGGGCGUAAAGCGCGCGUAGGUGGUUCGUUAAGUUGAAUGUGAAAGCCCCGGGCUCAACCUGGGAACUGCAUCCAAAACUGGCGAGCUAGAGUAGGGCAGAGGGUGGUGGAAUUUCCUGUGUAGCGGAGAAAUGCGUAGAUAUAGGAAGGAACACCAGUGGCGAAGGCGACCACCUGGGCUCAUACUGACACUGAGGUGCGAAAGCGUGGGGAGCAAACAGG
rnacentral:rRNA from 1 species